rnacentral:rRNA from 1 species
UUACGUCUGGUUCAGGGUUGUUUAUAAAUACUACAGUGUGGCUUGUGACGCUGUUUGUCGAACGAUGCUUACAUUUAGUGUGAUCCUCGUUCUAGAUGAGAAAUAUAUUGCAACAUGUAUCUUGGUGCAAUCCAAGAAGCACGGAUGUCGUGACCUCGUUGUCACUGUCAAAGCGUUCAGCGACUAAGAAUGCUUUGGCGGGGCCUGUAUGACAACUGCGGUUUCAUGUCAUUUGCAAUGCAACCUGAGCUCAGUCGUGAUUACCCGCUGAACUUAAGCAUAUCACUUAGCGGAGGAAAAGAAACUAAA